UGCCCAGGGCUACACACGUGCUACAAUGGGCGGUACAAAGAGAAGCAACCUCGCGAGGGUGAAGCAAAUCUCAAAAAGCCGUUCUCAGUUCGGAUUGAAGUCUGCAACUCGACUUCAUGAAGUCGGAAUCGCUAGUAAUCGCGGAUCAGCAUGCCGCGGUGAAUACGUUCCCGGGCCUU
rnacentral:rRNA from 1 species